AGAUAUGAGGGUGAUGUGGCUGCGAUGUCUGUCACCCCAAUGAUUGCCAGGGUUGAUUCGGCUGAUCUGCCUGGCUAGGCAGGUGUCUUCUUCCUCCCUCACUGCCCCAUGUGCUUCCCUCCUGAAACUUUGUCCUUGGUCGAAGAGGGCACCUUCCCCGAAUAAAGAAGGACCAGUCUUUGGUCAAGCAUAGAA
rnacentral:snRNA from 1 species